rnacentral:pre_miRNA from 6 species
UUUUAUGUGUGAGCAAAUAAAGUGUUUUCUUGAGAUAGAAUGUACUCCUGGUGAAGAUGCUGUGGA